rnacentral:rRNA from 1 species
AUGAGUAACAUCAAUUGUGCGAUCAUGUCCUGGAAUGUCCGGGGACUGAACUCAGCGGCAAGGCGGGAAAUAGUUAGAGAGGUAGGAGCGGCACAGUGACUCGCCAUCCUCUGCCUCCAGGAAACAAAAAUAGAAACAUGGUCUCAAACCAUGGUUAGGGACAUUGGCGGCAGCCACUUCAAAGAUUGCAUAGUACUACCGGCGAUUGGCUCCAGGGGCGGAGUUGCAAUCUUCUGGAACCGUGAUCUCGUGUCCGUCUACUCCCAGGCAGUUGGCCAAUUCUCCAUCACAGCCACUGUCACUCUAGUUAGCUCGGCAACUAGUUUCGUCCUCACAUCAGUAUACGGCCCCUCCGACGGCACCAACAGAGACGCCUUCUUCGCUGAAUUAGCUAGCACGGCACCUCCUGUAGGCACUCCAUGGCUAGUUAACGGAGACUUCAAUGUCAUCUACGAGGCGAGAGACAAGAACAACCUCAACUUAAAUAGGAGGUUGAUGAGUAGAUUUAGAUCAGUUUUAGACUCGGCGGCGCUCAAAGAAAUCAAAUGUAAAAAUAGGAGGUUCACCUGGAGUAACGAACGGGAAUCGCCCACGUUAGUCAGCAUCGACAAAUUCUUCGCUAACCUAGAAUGGGAAGCCCUUUCCCCUCCUUCAUGCUCGUCGCCGCAUCCACAACCUGCUCGGACCACUGCCCCCUCAUCCUUGCCAGUGCCACCGCCCCUCCGCGAUGAGCAAGAUUCCGUUUUGAAAGCUUCUGGGUCAGUUUUCCUCACUUCAGAGAAAUGGUACAGCGGGCAUAGCAACACCCCGCCACGCAAACCUGCGCCUUCAGCAGGAUCAAGACAAGACUCGAGCGGGUGGCCAAAGACCUGA